rnacentral:lncRNA from 1 species
AUGGCUGAACCUGGACCUCAGGGGGGCUGCUGGGCCCCGCUCUCAGAGGGGCAGGGAUGCAGACGCACAGCUCCCAACACUUCUGGGCUCAUCAUCCACAUACUGAUAUUUUCUUCUCUCAGAGACCACAGCAGGAGGGUUUGGAGUCCUUUCUGCUCAAUUUGGGGUUCUGGCAGAGGCGCAUCAGCAGGUGCUGUGGGGCAGAAGGAAUGGGGGCAGUGGGCCAGGCAGGGACCGGGGCCACGGGGCUCCUUCGUGGGACUGCAGGGAGCAGUGUCCCCUGUCCUCAUGGACACGAAAACGGACCUGGAGAAGGGCCAGGACAGCUCUACUCUCUGCUUCACACACAUCCCUCUGUACCCAGAGCAGAUACUCACGGAAAACCCUCAUAGCCUUCUCCUCUCCUCGAAGCUUUCCCAGGAGGCUUUCUCAGAACUACCGGGGACCUCGGGCCGAGUCCGGGCUCUGACUCCCUCCCGGAGGGCAGCGGAGAGCCGCGGCAGCCUGCGGGGCCCGAGGUGGGGCAGGGCGGCCACCGUGCCCUCAGGCCGGGCGCGGGGCGGCGGGCAGCCCCUGAGGGAGGGCCGCGGCCGUGAGGCGGGAGCCGGCGCCGCGCGCCCCUUUCCCCCGCAGCGGCCUCUCCGCCGGCGGAGCCCCGCGCCGCUCCCCUGCACCUGCCCGAGCCCGGCAUCCCGGCGGGCAGGGCGGCCGCGGGCCCUUCCGAGGCGCGGGGAACCGGCCUCACCGCAGCGGCCCGCGCCUCCCCUCGCUCCCUCCCUUCCCGCUCCUUACCCGGCGGGCGCCUGCCCCGGCGGCCGCCCGCUCAUCCAUCCUGCCGCUUUCCCCGCCGAGGUGACAAAGCCGGCAUGGCAACGGGAGGCGCCGCGCGGCGCUGGGAGGCGCCUUCCCCAGGUUGGGUGGUUAACUUUCACCAGGCGGCUGCGGCGGCGGCGCCCGGCAUCCCCCGCUGGGCCGGGCCCUGCAGGGGCUGCCGGGAGGCGUAGUCCGUCCGCCCCGCCUCAGCGCCCCGGUCUGCGGGCUCCCGGCCGGGACGGCGCUGCUUGCUGGGCUCCGUCGGGCGGCGGAGUCUCGGAGAGCGGAGGGACAGCGGGUCCGCGUGGGACCCCGCGGUAG